AUACGGAGGGUGCAAGCGUUACUCGGAAUCACUGGGCGUAAAGGACGCGUAGGCUGUUUAGCAAGUCAGAUGUGAAAUCCAAUGGCUCAACCAUUGAACUGCAUUUGAAACUGCUAGACUAGAGUAUGGGAGGGGCAGAUGGAAUUAGUGGUGUAGGGGUAAAAUCCGUAGAUAUCACUAGGAAUACCUAAAGCGAAGGCGAUCUGCUGGAACAUUACUGACGCUAAGGCGUGAAAGCGUGGGGAGC
rnacentral:rRNA from 1 species